AGUAGCGGGUGAAUCCUUGCCGGCAUGAACAGGGGCCAAGGGGAAGGCAUUUAAUGGAUGAUUAGAGAAUUUAGGAGCACUUCUCAGCCUGAAAUCAGGGCUUCACACCUCCCAGACAUGGGUGCAGCGCAGAGCAGGACUGACAAGUGUUUUUGACAGGCAAUCUGUCUGUUAAAAAGCUGUAGGACUGAGGAAGACCAUACAGAGCAUCCUAGCAUCUCAGCUCAGGAGAGCAAGAGGACAAAAUCAGAGGAAGAAAGAUACUGAGGAAGAUGGAGAACUCUGAACUUACCCAGCAAACCUAUAUGCAGAUGCUGCUGAGAUGUCUAAGAGUGCUGUGUGAUUAUUUGAAGUAAAGAAACCACGGGAAAGGAACAUGGAAGAGUUACGGGAUAUUUGGGAAUACUGAAAAAAAAGUGGAUUGAAGACACGAGAAUGGAUAGCCCCUGCGUGAGUCAUGGUGAAAACGAGUCUAUAAUACUCUAAGUCUUUCUGAAGCUCGCUUCUAAGUUGUUGCUUUCAGAAUUCUUGGUAGUGCUGAGCUGUAUGGUAAUAUGCAAUGACCCUUUUCCUUGCUAAUCACAGCUGGAUUCCUCUCGGCCAGGCAGAGCCUCUCUUGAUCUAUCUCCAUUGCUUUUGUAUCCAUCUGAAGUUUCGUAAGCUGUAUUUUACAUGGCUAUACUAAGUGAUGCCCAGUUGGGUAUGUUACCACUCACAUAAAAAAAAUAACAAUACUGUUUGAAAAAGAAAGAGAAGAGCCUGGAGGAUUUUCAAGGUUGAGGUGCACUUAGUGUAGCUAUAAGCAGACUAAAACCAUCAUCGUAUCUGCUUUUCUUCUCUAACAGUCCCAAAGAUCACAGGCUCUGAGUGUCACACUCAGCAAGGACAGGAGAAUACAGAAGAAAGAAAAGAAUACUGCUUGCAGUGGAGAAAAUGCAUGUUUAAAAUUUAUUUCUGUCUCACAGGCCCUAAACCAUGACUACUUUGUGCAGGUGGUGAGUUCAGCCGUGAAAGCUCUUGGGGUCACCUUGCUACAAAUAUAACUCAUUGCUAUUUUCUCUCCGUGUCUCACAAAGUAUGGCAUGGGUGGUUUCAGUUCCACUUUGUUCUCCCGGCUCUUUCCCAUGCUGCGACAUCCCUUUCCUAAAAUAUUUUCUCUAUUCCUAUUUGUAAAUUAAAAAUCUUUCCAGU
ensembl:lncRNA